AGUUGGUGGAGUGAUUUGUCUGCUUAAUUGCGUUAACGAACGAGACCUCGACCUGCUAAAUAGUUGACAUUAUUUCUUUGGAGAUAAGUGUCUAACUUCUUAGAGGGACUAUUGGUGCUUAGCCAAUGGAAGUUCGAGGCAAUAACAGGUC
rnacentral:rRNA from 1 species